rnacentral:lncRNA from 1 species
AUCAUGUCAGCUCUCACUCACUGGAUCUCAGAUCAGUGUUUGGUCUGGAGGUCAGAGUUCAUCUGUGAGAAUAAGCUGCUUCUACACUGUGAUGAAGGGACAAAUUAAAAAACCAUCUGCUCACUCUGAUCCAGUGACAGUUACAGUCCAGAUUUCAACAUCAACCAUUAAACAUACGAGUACAACAGCCACGACAACCUCUUUAACUGUAAUGUCCACUUCUGAAACCACAACAUACAGUAAAACUGUAGACCUUCAUUCCAAGACAAACCUUCCAACCAACACAGAAAAGGAAACAAUCUUUUCAACAUCAAUAUCCACUCAAACUCAAACUCAAACUCAAACUCAAGCUUCACAAUUGGACACUGUCAUUUCCACAUCUGAAACCCCAGUGUACCGCACAACAGUGGCUCAUACUAAAGGUCCACACUCACCAACAUACAAAGAUCUAUGGUUUAUAGUGCUGGUUUUCACUGGUGUUGCUGUCAUUUUGUCUGGACUCAUGGGACUCAUCUGUCUCUGCCGGUUUGCAAGUAAAAAGAGAAGAAAACGGUAAGUUUUAUAUUCAUUCAAUUUAGUAGUAGGCCUAUAUGUUUGUUAGUAGUCUAUAUUGUAGUCCAGG